UACAGAGGUCUCAAGCGUUGUUCGGAUUCAUUGGGCGUAAAGGGUGCGUAGGCGGUCGGGUAAGUCGGAUGUGAAAUCUCAGGGCUCAACCCUGAAACUGCAUUCGAUACUGCUUGGCUAGGGUACUGGAGAGGAGACUGGAAUUUACGGUGUAGCAGUGAAAUGCGUAGAUAUCGUAAGGAAGACCAGUGGCGAAGGCGAGUCUCUGGACAGUUACCGACGCUGAGGCACGAAGGUCAGGGGAGCAAACGGG
rnacentral:rRNA from 1 species